AAAACCCUAACGGGGUCACGAAGAGUCAGAAAUGACUGAGACAACUGAACAACAACAAAAUAGGCCCAAUGAUGUCUAUUUCACAACAGUGAGAAUCAAAUGAUUUCAGGUUCUGAGGCUUCGAUGGGUGUGUGGGGUUUCACGUCUAGAAGCCUUCUUCCCCCACUGGGGGCUGCCCUUGGUUGAAGGCAAUGGGAGCAGAACACUGAGGCUGCUUGCUGUUGGCAUCCAUUCUCCUCUUCCCUUUAUUUAAGAAGUUGGUGGAGAGAAUGUUAAUAAUGCCGAUUAAUCUUAAAAGUGUGUUUACAUGCAUUCUUGGAGAGCUGGUUGUUAAACAUCCACCACCAAACUACUGCACCUGAGGAAAUGGAAUGGAAUAUUAUUGUGCCAUAAGAAAUCAUGAAAGGGAUGGAGCCAAAGCUGCCUCAGAAGACCUGUAAGAACUGAUACGGAUACUUCUUUUAACUUUCUUUAUUUUUCUUGGGUUUUUAUUUUGGUCUAUGUUUUCUUUUAUAACAUGACUAAU